rnacentral:rRNA from 1 species
GUGUCAGCCGCCGCGGUAAUACGGGGGGGGCAAGCGUUGUUCGGAAUUACUGGGCGUAAAGGGCUCGUAGGCGGCCAUCUAAGUCAGACGUGAAAUCCCUCGGCUUAACCGGGGAACGGCGUCUGAUACUGGACGGCUUGAAUCCGGGAGAGGGAUGCGGAAUUCCAGGUGUAGCGGUGAAAUGCGUAGAUAUCUGGAGGAACACCGGUGGCGAAGGCGGCAUCCUGGACCGGCAUUGACGCUGAGGAGCGAAAGCCAGGGGAGCAAACGGGAUUAGAUACCCCUGUAGUCC